rnacentral:rRNA from 1 species
AUUGAACGCUGGCGGCAUGCCUUACACAUGCAAGUCGAACGGCAGCACGGAGGGAACCCUCGCGGCGAGCGGCGAACGGGCGGGUAAUAUAUCGGAACGAGACCACCCGUGGGGGAGGACGAAGCGAAAGAUACGCUAAUACAUCCUACCAACUAUGGAUGAAAGCGGGGGGUCGCAAGACCUCGCGCUAGUGGACCGGCCGAUAUCGGAUUAGGUAGUUGGUGGGGUAAAGGCUCACCAAGCCGACGAUCUGUAGCUGGUCUGAGAGGACGACCAGCCACACUGGGACUGAGACACGGCCCAGACUCCUACGGGAGGCAGCAGUGGGGAAUUUUGGACAAUGGGCGCAAGCCUGAUGCAGCCAUGCCGCGUGCAGGAAGAAGGCCUUCGGGUUGUAAACUGCUUUUGGACGGAGCGAAGAGGAUUCCACUAAUACUGUGGGCUAAUGACGUUACCGUAAGAAGAAGCACCGGCUAACUACGUGCCAGCCGCCGCAGUAACAC